rnacentral:pre_miRNA from 1 species
CAAGUACUCCCUCCAUCCGGAAUUACUUGUCAUCAAAAUGGAUGUGUCUAGAACUAAAAUACAUCUAGAUACAUCCAUUUCAAUGACAAGUAUUUUUGGACGUAGGGAGUACAAG